GACGAACGCUGGCGGCGUGCCUAAUACAUGCAAGUAGAACGCUGAAGGAGGAGCUUGCUUCUCUGGAUGAGUUGCGAACGGGUGAGUAACGCGUAGGUAACCUGCCUGGUAGCGAGGGAUAACUAUUGGAAACGAUAGCUAAUACCGCAUAAGAGUAGAUGUUGCAUGACAUUUGCUUAAAAGGUGCAAUUGCAUCACUACCAGAUGGACCUGCGUUGUAUUAGCUAGUUGGUGGGGUAACGGCUCACCAAGGCGACGAUACAUAGCCGACCUGAGAGGGUGAUCGGCCACACUGGGACUGAGACACGGCCCAGACUCCUACGGGAGGCAGCAGUAGGGAAUCUUCGGCAAUGGACGGAAGUCUGACCGAGCAACGCCGCGUGAGUGAAGAAGGUUUUCGGAUCGUAAAGCUCUGUUGUAAGAGAAGAACGAGUGUGAGAGUGGAAAGUUCACACUGUGACGGUAUCUUACCAGAAAGGGACGGCUAACUACGUG
rnacentral:rRNA from 1 species